GCCAUGGUGGCGUAAUGGUUAGCACAUCUGCCUAGUGAGCAGGUGACCUGAGCUCGAACCUCAGCCUUGGCA